CCAAUACCUAUUUUUUUUUAGAAAGUCCAAUACCAACUCGAUCGGCUCACCGCCAACCCUUUGGCUAUGGCUAGCCGGUUCUGAUGAGAGCUCUAGGUUUGGCAUCGAGGACCCAGAGGGCAUCCUGAGCACGCCGCAGCCCGGCACAUUGCACGCCUCGAGUUCCACCAGUUGAACAGGUUCUUGGCCUGCAUUAGAACUUAUCUCGGAAACAUCUUGGUUUGCUGUGGUCAGUUCAUCCUCCAUCAGUUGAUCAUGGUGUUGGUGCCCAGUUGAAAAUGAGAUAUUUGUGACGCCACAAUAAGUUACUCCCUCCGUUCAAUGAUUCUUGUCAAAAUAUUACAUGUAUCUAGACGCUUUUUAGAAAUAGAUACAUCCAUUUUUGGGCAAAUUUGAGACAAGAAUUAUCGAAUGGAGGGAGUAUUUUGAAGAAUACUUGAACAGGUUCUUAGUCUAAUUAAUUCCAAUCUGUAGUGAAACAUGCCCAAGUUAAUCACACAAUAGUAAAUUAACUGUGCAACACUAUAAGUAUUGCUUGACCCAUGUUUGCUACUUGCUAUGAUUUUUGCAGGCACAAAAUAGUAAUAGUCGAAGGAAAUUAUUUCUUGCUGAAAGAAAAUAUUUGGACAGACAUUAGAGACAUGGAGAGAUCCAUGGGCCGAAUACCUUGCAAGAUCGAGACACUAAGGUGAAUCCCAAUCUCUCGCCGUCGAGAUAUGGCAGAGUGGAUCGAGGUUGGCACAAUAAUUUAUCUGGCGAGAUCGAGGAGAUUGAUGAGGCGAGCAUACCGCUGGCGAUCGGAGAAGCGGAAGACGGGGUCACACAAGCAUCGGCGGCCGUCGGACCCGCGCAGGCGAUACGCUGCGUGGAACGAGGGAGGCGUCGGUGGCUACUGCUUGCGUGCCGACUGUAUCAAAUUGGAGCUGGGAAACAUCAGUCCAGGUGGCCAUCGACGCACUGGAAGAGGAACCAAAUCGCCACCGCUGCUGCUGUCAUUUUAUUUUGACCAUAUGUUAGCUUCCUAUCCAUCAGCACAUGACUAUGCCUCCUUAUCCAUGAUAUCAUGUUCCAGGCAUUUGUGCCUUACGAGUAGUCCAGUUAGGAAAGGAACUGGAAUUAAUCUGCCGAACGUCAGGUUAGGGAAGGUUAUCUGCUCAAGUAAGUUUAUGAUCAAUCAACUCAAGCUAAGGUUGAUUUGAUUGAGGUGCAGAUGUUUUACUUUCAACUUUGUGCAAUUGAAGUUUUUUUGUGUCGCAUCUGACUCUUGAAGCGCGACAAUGACGCAAGGCUGUAUGGAGAGAAAUACAAGGACUACAAUGCUAUUGUGAAUCAGACCAUAGGGAUGCAGUAAGUGUUCUGGAAAGAUUGUAUGUUUUAUUGUUUGAUGAAUGGAAAGGAAACCAUCCUUACCAGAUUCCAAAUACAUAAUUUUUCUGUAAUAAUGCAACAAAGGUCCUUUAUAUGCAUAGUUUCCUAGAAUUUCUUUGAGCGGAGCAUAGCGGUCCGUGGCAGCUGCUGCAGUUUGUAAAUUUUAAGUACUCAUUUUGGAUGGGGAACUGGCUCGAGAUUUAUCUCUGGAACUGUUAUUCGUUUAGUGGUUUUCUAGGAGUAAGUAACCUGUAGCAAUAAAGGAGCGUUUUUUUUUUC